UACGGAGGGGGUUAGCAUUGUUCGGAAUUACUGGGCGUAAAGCGCGCGUAGGCGGAUUAGAAAGUUGGGGGUGAAAUCCCGGGGCUCAACCUCGGAACUGCCUCCAAAACUGCUAGUCUAGAGUUCGAGAGAGGUGAGUGGAAUUCCGAGUGUAGAGGUGAAAUUCGUAGAUAUUCGGAGGAACACCAGAGGCGAAGGCGGCUCACUGGCUCGAUACUGACGCUGAGGUGCGAAAGUGUGGGGAGCAAACAGG
rnacentral:rRNA from 1 species